AGUUGCGAAGGCGGCUCUCUGGACUGUAACUGACGCUGAGGCACGAAAGCGUGGGGAGCAAAAAGGAUCAGAUACCCUGGUAGGCCACGCUGUAAACGAUGAGUACUAGGUGCCGGGGGUUACCCCCGUCGGGGCCGCAGCUAACGCAUUAAGUACUCCGCCUGGGAAGUACGCUCGCAAGAGUGAAACUCAAAGGAAUUGACGGGGACCCGAACAAGUAGCGGAGCAUGUGGUUUAAUUCGAAGCAACGCGAAGAACCUUACCUAAGCUUGAUAUCCCAAUGACAUCUCCUUAAUCGGAGAGUUCCCUUCGGGGACAUUGGUGACAGGUGGUGCAUGGU
rnacentral:rRNA from 1 species